rnacentral:rRNA from 1 species
UAGGGAAUUUUCGUUCAAUGGGCGCAAGCCUGAACGAGCAAUGCCGCGUGAACGAGGAAGGUCUUCGGAUCGUAAAGUUCUGUUGAAGGGGAAAAAGAGCGGAGAGAGGAAAUGGUCUCCGAUUGAUAUUACCCUUCGAGGAAGUCACGGCUAACUACGUGCCAGCAGCCGCGUAAUAGUGCGCU